GGAAGCCGUGGACCACAGCUUUAUUCCCUCACGAUCAGCCGCUUCCGGCCCGGGCCCCGCAAGUAAAUGGCGCCCUCCGGCGGGCGCUGCCUCGACCUGGCGUGGAACGUUCCGCCCCGGACGCGAGCGGGAGGGGAGACGCGCAUUUGACGGCGUCGCGCAGGAUCGCUUAAAAGCGACAGUGGACCCACAGACCCCAGGCCGCACUCACGGUGCACGGUGAGCUGCAGGGCGACCUGUCCUUGCAGGUACGGCAGGUGCACCGUGGCCAGGUUUCCCUGGAGGUUCAGACUGGCCUCAAACUCGCAUCAAUCCUGCUUUGGCCUCCCAAAUGCUGGGAUUACAGGCCUGCGCCUCCUCACCUGGCCCAUUUAAUACCUCUUGGAUAACGUGACACCUGUAUGCGAAAGGUACUUGGAAUGGUGCGCGGAACACAGUCUACAGUAGUGUUGGCCAAACGUGAGCCUGUCUGUCGGGCAGACUUAUCCAGGCAGAUUAACCCCCUCAGCAGUGUCUGCCAGCGCCCUCUCUGUGGUCCAAGGCCACUGUCCCUGCCUUUGAUGAGUGGUCAUCAGCCCCCCAACACACACCAGUGGAAAAUACCAGGGGUCUCUCAGACUCCUUCCUCUCAUUCAACAGGUACUUCCUGAGCACCUAGGCCUUUCAAGGUACAGUGGUACAGGACAGACAGGCAGUCCCAAACUGGGCGAGGUGCCGCACACAAGUAAUCCCAGCACUCAGAGGCUGAGGCAGGAGGAUCUCUAUGAAUUCAAGGCCCCCCUCAGCUACAUAGUGAGUUCAAGGCCAUUUGAGCUGCAUAGAGAAACCCUGCC